CUUUCAGAAGACAGCGGCGAGAACAUCUUACCUCAAAAGUAUAUUUGAAAACACAAAAAAGGUGCUUUCCAGUUUACAUACGUGGGAAACAG